UACGUAGGGGGCAAGCGUUAUCCGGAUUUACUGGGUGUAAAGGGAGCGUAGACGGCGAGACAAGUCUGAAGUGAAAUGCCAGUGCUCAACACUGGAACUGCUUUGGAAACUGCCUGGCUGGAGUGCGGGAGAGGUAAGUGGAAUUCCUAGUGUAGCGGUGAAAUGCGUAGAUACUAGGAGGAACACCAGUGGCGAAGGCGGCUUACUGGACCGUAACUGACGUUGAGGCUCGAAGGCGUGGGGAGCAAACAGG
rnacentral:rRNA from 1 species